AGGACGAACGCUGGCGGCGUGCUUAACACAUGCAAGUCGAGCGGAAAGGCCCUUCGGGGUACUCGAGCGGCGAACGGGUGAGUAACACGUGAGCAACCUGCCCUUAGCUCUGGGAUAGCUCCGGGAAACCGGAAUUAAUACCGGAUAUGACCUAGGCCGACAUCGGCCGUGGUGGAAAGUUUUUCGGCUAGGGAUGGACUCGCGGCCUAUCAGCUAGUUGGUGGGGUAAUGGCCUACCAAGGCGACGACGGGUAGCCGGCCUGAGAGGGCGACCGGCCACACUGGGACUGAGACACGGCCCAGACUCCUACGGGAGGCAGCAGUGGGGAAUCUUGCGCAAUGGGCGAAAGCCUGACGCAGCGACGCCGCGUGGGGAUGAAGGCCUUCGGGUUGUAAACCCUUUCAGCAGGGACGAAGCGAAAGUGACGGUACCUGCAGAAGAAGCGCCGGCUAACUACGCGCCAGCAGCCGC
rnacentral:rRNA from 1 species